rfam:Arabidopsis thaliana chromosome 5, complete sequence.
AGCUGAUGAUGAUUCUAUACUUGAUAUUACUGACUAGUGGGUAGCUGAAGAUAAUCGCCUGCUACCUGAGUCU